rnacentral:rRNA from 1 species
AUGCACGCUGGCGGCGUGCCUAAUACCUGCAAGUCGAGCGAACAGACGAGGAGCUUGCUCCUCUGACGUUAGCGGCGGACGGGUGAGUAACACGUGGAUAACCUACCUAUAAGACUGGGAUAACUUCGGGAACCGGAGCUAAUACCGGAUAAUAUAUUGAACCGCAUGGUUCAAUAGUGAAAGACGGUUUUGCUGUCACUUAUAGAUGGAUCCGCGCCGCAUUAGCUAGUUGGUAAGGUAACGGCUUACCAAGGCAACGAUGCGUAGCCGACCUGAGAGGGUGAUCGGCCACACUGGAACUGAGACACGGUCCAGACUCCUACGGGAGGCAGCAGUAGGGAAUCUUCCGCAAUGGGCGAAAGCCUGACGGAGCAACGCCGCGUGAGUGAUGAAGGUCUUCGGAUCGUAAAACUCUGUUAUUAGGGAAGAACAAAUGUGUAAGUAACUAUGCACGUCUUGACGGUACCUAAUCAGAAAGCCACGGCUAACUACGUG